CAUGGCAACCCGUUUUCCAAAUUAAAUGCUUAUUUGUAUAAAUUUCCGGUGGUUGGGUUUAAAUAUCCUUGUUGUACUAGCACUCUUGUUCCUUGAUAAAGGGUAGAAAUGCGUUGGAAGAGUGCAGGCGAGACACAUUGUUUUUCUCCCUUGAGGUUGGAAUUGUUACAACAUCAGACUGGUAAUUGCUGUUUUCGGCCGACGGCCUUACCUGUGAAUUAUAUUUCACCCCACGGAGGAUCAUACAUAUGUGGCACUUGUCCAGUUGUAUAUAAUAUUUAAAUUUUUAUUAAUAAAAUGCCCUUUUAAAAUAUAUUGAUAUUCCCACAUUCUCUGCAUGGGAGGAGGGGAUGCUUUUGGAUACUCUGUUAAAAGAAACCGUUAUGUGAGGAUCAACAUCUUUGGACAAGUGAGUACGAAGUAAAAAUCAUCUGGUUAUUGCACACAUGGAAAGAAAGAAAAACAGGUCAUUGAAAAGUUCAUUGGACAUUAAAGGUUGAUGGCACAGGCAUUGUGG